CAGUACUAGGUUUUAGUAAACCUAGGCCUGACUAGGCUUUGCCUAGGAAUUUGGGCCGUAGAAGGCCAUUUUUCUGAUGGGCUAUCUGUCUGCCACGUGUCGUGGCCUGAUUGGUCCACCUUGGACCUUUCACAAGGUGACACGUGGCGGACUCUGGUUGGUCCACUUGGAUAACAUGUGGAAGGAUGUGAGUAGUCCACGUUGCGGGGAAAAAUCCCCUAAUCAUUUUCCCCUCACAGGGAUGACAUGGCAUUUCACGUGGCGUCUGUGACAGAUGUCACACCAUGAUUGGCUAACUGUUAUCACCGUUUUUUUGUUUUUUUUUUUACUGUCUCUUGGAAUUCACCACCUAUAAAUAAGGGGUGUCCAAAUCAUUUGGACAUUCUAGAAACUUUUCAGACAGAACUUUGGACGCUUGCUCUAACACUUUAGACGGCUGCCGCUUGUAUACAGACCGCCUGUUCUUAGACCGCCUGCUUCCUCAGCCGCCAAGUUUUUCAAAAGUUUAGACUUCUUCUCAAAGAUAAAGCUAUGGACAAGAUCUCGGCCUCCAAGAAAGUAGCCGCCCAAAUCCGCGCGGCCAUUCUAUGCAAGCGUUCAUUGAGGAGUCGCUUGCCAAACAGGUGCCUAGGGUGAGUUUCUCUUCAUUUAACACAACCUCUUUAUGUCUGUCGCCUCUUCGUGGCUAAAUGACUUGUGUUGCAGGGUAACGUGGUCAGACCUUUCUCCUCAUCCCAGCCGGACCCCAAGGUCAGGAAGCAGACGGCCGGGGAUGUGCCGACUCCUGGAAAAGCUAGGAGACAGGCGGCUGAAUGGUCAGGAAGGACUCCCCAAAGCGGGGCAAGGACUCCGGCUACCCCUGGGAUCAGCCGACCCCCUAGAGAAAAGGAGGUGGCGAGAGAUGCCCUUGAAGAGCCGGACCUGGUUCAGAUGGCCAAGUCCAUGUUGAAGGUCAUCCCUGUUGAGGACAGGAAGUCUGUUAAGGGAGUCGGCACCCUAAACCUUGAAGCCAUCCUGGCUCUCCUUGCCG